UACGUAGGCAGCGAGCGUUGUUCGGAGUUACUGGGCGUAAAGCGUGCGUAGGCGGUGCCAUAAGUCUGUUGUGAAAUCUCCCGGCUUAACUGGGAGGGUGCGGUGGAAACUGUGGUGCUGGAGUGUGGGAGAGGUAGGCGGAAUUCCUGGUGUAGCGGUGAAAUGCGUAGAUAUGACAUAGAACACCAAUUGCGUAGGCAGCUUACUACACGAUCAUUGACGCUGAGGCACGAAAGCGUGGGGAGCAAACAGG
rnacentral:rRNA from 1 species